rnacentral:rRNA from 1 species
AAGUCGUAACAAGGUUUCCGUAGGUGAACCUGCGGAAGGAUCAUUGUCGAAACCUGCAACAGCAGAGCGACCAGCGAACAUGUUUUUUCAUUGGCCAGGGGGGGUCCCCCGUCACGCGGGGGAGCCGCCCACGGCAACCUAACAAACCCCGGCGCGGACUGCGCCAAGGAACAACAACUCUACAUGCGCGCCCGUGCCGCGCCCGGUAACCCGGGGGCGGACGGGGGCCAUCACAUAACAAUAAACGACUCUCGGCAACGGAUAUCUCGGCUCUCGCAUCGAUGAAGAACGUAGCGAAAUGCGAUACUUGGUGUGAAUUGCAGAAUCCCGUGAACCAUCGAGUCUUUGAACGCAAGUUGCGCCCGAAGCCUCCGGCUGAGGGCACGUCUGCCUGGGCGUCACGCAUCGCGUCUCCCCUCACCCGCGCGCGCGCGGGAGGGAAGGAUGAUGGCCUCCCGUGCCUCACCGGGCGCGGCUGGCCUAAAAACGGAGCCCCCGGCGACGAGCUGCCGCGGCAUUUGGUGGUUGAUUUCAUUCAAUUCGUCGCGCCCCUCUUAGCCCCGUGAAGCUCGAGCGACCCGGAAGGCCGCAGUUCGACGCGGCCAUCACGCUGCGACCCCAGGUCAGGCGGGGCU